UCCUGCUGCUACGCCAACUAUGGGUCGUGGAUGAACCUGGGCAUGCAGGGCCUGGACGUGUGGAGGAACCCGCAGAUCUACGUGGUCGGCACGUCACCGUUGUGCGGCAGAAUAUCGGGUCUCAGCCCUGGACAGAGAAAGCUCUGUCAGUUGCGACAGGACCACAUGGGGGAGCGUGGGCCGCGGCGCCCGGGCAGGCAUCGCCGAGUGCCAGCACCAGUUCCGCAACAGCCGCUGGAACUGCUCCACCGUCGACGACUCGUCCGUGUUCGGACCCGUCCUGC